UACGAAGGGUGCAAGCGUUACUCGGAAUUACUGGGCGUAAAGCGUGCGUAGGUGGUUUGUUAAGUCUGUUGUGGAAGCCCCGGGCUCAACCCGGGAAUGGCAAUGGAUACUGGCAGGCUAGAGUGCGGUAGAGGGUAGUGGAAUUCCCGGUGUAGCGGUGAAAUGGCGUAGAGAUCGGGAGGAACACCAGUGGCGAAGGCGGCUACCUGGACCAGCACUGACACUGAGGCACGAAAGCGUGGGGAGCAAACAGG
rnacentral:rRNA from 1 species